rnacentral:rRNA from 1 species
UCGGGCCUAACACAUGCAAGUCGUACGAGAGCUUUUAACUCUAGUGGCGGACGGGUGAGUAACACGUGAGAAUUUGCCUUUAGGAGGGGGACAACAAUUGGAAACGAAUGCUAAUACCCCAUAUGCUUUCGAGUGAAAUGGAUUUUAUCCGCCUAGAGAGAAGCUCGCGGCUGAUUAGCUUGUUGGUAAGGUAAGAGCUUACCAAGGCGACGAUCAGUAUCUGGUUUGAGAGGACGAUCAGACACACUGGAACUGAGACACGGUCCAGACUCCUACGGGAGGCAGCAGUGGGGAAUUUUCCGCAAAGGGCGAAAGCCUGACGGAGCAAUACCGCGUGAGGGAUAGAGAGCCUAUGGGUUGUAAACCUCUUUUUCAGGGAGGAAUAAAUGA